GUGCUCUCUUCAGCAGUUCAUAUAUUAAAAUGGGAAUAACACAGAGAAGAUUAGCAUGGUCCCUGCACAAGAAUGACACACAAAUUCAUGAAGCAUUCCAUAUUUUU